GUCUAUGGCUAUGCCAUCCUGAACAAGUCCAAUCCUGUCUGAUCUCAGAAGCUAAGCAGGGUCAGGCCUGGUUAGUACUUGGAUGGGAGACCACCUCAGAAGACCAGGUGCUGCAGGCA
rnacentral:rRNA from 1 species